AACGAACGCUGGCGGCAUGCCUAACACAUGCAAGUCGAACGAUGCCUUCGGGCAUAGUGGCGCACGGGUGCGUAACGCGUGGGAAUCUGCCCUUGGCUUCGGAAUAACAGUUAGAAAUGACUGCUAAUACCGGAUGAUGUCCCCCUGAGAGAUCUUGGGGACCAAAGAUUUAUCGGCCAGGGAUGAGCCCGCGUAGGAUUAGGUAGUUGGUGGGGUAAAGGCCUACCAAGCCGACGAUCCUUAGCUGGUCUAAGAGGAUGAUCAGCCACACUGGGACUGAGACACGGCCCAGACUCCUACGGGAGGCAGCAGUGGGGAAUAUUGGACAAUGGGGGGAACCCUGAUCCAGCAAUGCCGCGUGAGUGAUGAAGGCCUUAGGGUUGUAAAGCUCUUUUACCAGGGAUGAUAAUGACAGUACCUGGAGAAUAAGCUCCGGCUAACUCCGUG
rnacentral:rRNA from 1 species